UACGGGGGGGGCAAGCGUUGUUCGGAAUUACUGGGCGUAAAGGGCUCGUAGGCGGCCAACUAAGUCAGACGUGAAAUCCCUCGGCUUAACCGGGGAACUGCGUCUGAUACUGGAUGGCUUGAGUGUGGGAGAGGCGCGUGGAAUUGCAGGUGUAGCGGUGAAAUGCGUAGAUAUCUGCAGGAACACCCGUGGCGAAGGCGGCAUCCUGGACCAAUAUUGACGCUGAGGAGCGAAAGCCAGGGGAGCAAACGGG
rnacentral:rRNA from 1 species